rnacentral:rRNA from 1 species
GAUGAACGCUGGCGGCGUGCCUAAUACAUGCAAGUCGAGCGAACAGAUAAGGAGCUUGCUCCUUUGACGUUAGCGGCGGACGGGUGAGUAACACGUGGGUAACCUACCUAUAAGACUGGGAUAACUUCGGGAAACCGGAGCUAAUACCGGAUAAUAUUUCGAACCGCAUGGUUCGAUAGUGAAAGAUGGUUUUGCUAUCACUUAUAGAUGGACCCGCGCCGUAUUAGCUAGUUGGUAAGGUAACGGCUUACCAAGGCGACGAUACGUAGCCGACCUGAGAGGGUGAUCGGCCACACUGGAACGGAGACACGGUCCAGAGUCCUAAGGGAGGCAGCAGUAGGGAAUCUGCCGCAAUGGGCGAAAGCCUGACGGAGCAACGCCGCGUGAGUGAUGAAGGUCUUCGGAUCGUAAAACUCUGUUAUUAGGGAAGAACAGACGUGUAAGUAACUGUGCACGUCUUGACGGUACCUAAUCAGAAAGCCACGGCUAACUACGUG